UGACCAAUCAUAUCUUUUCUCUAAAUGGGCGGGCCUUGUUAUCACUAACUUUAUGACAAGUUCCGCCCGAUAGAAUCUUUAUUGGAAAAAAAAUAUAUACGCUGAUAAAGCUAACUAUUAUUCACGUCACAAUGGAAGCAGCGAAUAACAUAAGGUGAAUGCAGAAACUCAUUAAAAUCCCCAGUCAGGAUGGACCGCAGUGUCAUAUUACGUAACGGUUAUCUAUAUCUGAGCUGGACAGUGAUGUGUUCGGGGAUGUGGAGACUGUGUCACUUCGCUUCCAGCAGAUUCUUUCAAAACCUAUUUUGGCAUGAUGAGUUUACCUAAGCAGUGCAUGCUGAUAAGAGAAGAGACAACUCACAUACAGCUGAAAGUGAAAAUGGAUCGCUAAACAGCACCAAUGAAGAGGACGAAAUGGAGUCACGGCAAUUGUAAAAUCUCAUCAGUGUUUGGUUUCCAAGGGCACAUCUACUGAAAAUGGAAAUGUAGACACAUCAGUGAAUGCUGUUUUCUCUUAGUGAUCAGCAAUCACUGAUGUGAUAUGAGAGAAAUCUUAAUCAGAAGGCUCAAUUUUGCCUUUCCAUAGAAUGUUUAGCAUGUUUCUCAGAUUGAAAUUGAAGAUUUUCAAUCCCCCAGGGCCUGAUUCAGUAUGAUCAUGAGAGGAAUUGACAGCGACAAAAGCUUACCUAAUGAGUCCUUGUUUCAUUCAUCAAAUAGUGUUGACUGCAUGACUUACAGUAUAUUCUUUGCUCAAGGCCAUAUCAGCAUUGGGCAGAAUCAGGUAUUGCUGUUGCAUCUACACAGGACUUCAUAAACAUCCUUGUUUCACUAUGUCUGUGAAAAUUUGGCUAAUCUUUGAUGCUAUCACAGGGAGCAACACAAAGUCGAUUCUGUGUUAAGUUGAUCUAAUAUUUAAUUAAAUGGAAUUGAUUUAUGUAGCUUUUGAGAAUCGUUAUAAUUACAAAAAAAAGGUCUUGUUAAUGAUUUUCUGUUUUGUUAAAGCCUAAAGGUAAUGUAAUCAACAGUAUUUUAUGGGAUCUUUCAGAAUGCUUGCU